UACGUAGGGUGCAAGCGUUGUCCGGAAUUAUUGGGCGUAAAGAGCUCGUAGGCGGUUUGUCGCGUCGAAUGUGAAAACCCGGGGCUCAACCCCGGGCCUGCAUUCGAUACGGGCAGACUAGAGUUCGGUAGGGGAGUCUGGAAUUCCUGGUGUAGCGGUGAAAUGCGCAGAUAUCAGGAAGAACACCCGUGGCUAAGGCGGUUCUCUAGUACGGUACUGACGCCGAGACGCGAAAGCGUGGGGAGCGAACAGG
rnacentral:rRNA from 1 species